GCUCAUAUCAUCAGCCAGCAAGUAGGCCCAGGAGCUAGGUCAGGGCUGCUCCGCUGACCCUAGGGGCAGGCCUUUCCUCUAAAAAACCUUCUAGAAGCACCAAUAAGAUUAGAGGAAUCCCUAAAUCCCAGUGCAAAAUCCAAAAUGAGUUCCUUUACGCAUUGGGCUUAAACAUCAGAAGUGCACAAGAGAAACUUAAAAUGUAUUGCAUCAAUGGCCGUCAGCUCUCAGAAGAUCUAGCAGAGAGUGGGUUGCUCACUGCGUCACUCAUCUGCAGCUGAAUAAAGCAUUCUUUCUCCUCAAGUCCUAAUGACGCUUCCAGCUGGAAAUAGCUAGAUUUUCUCUUCGGAAUAAAUCAACCCACAGAAAACACCUUGCAGAAGAUUAAUUACAGAGUCAAGGUUGGAAGGCAUGUCUGGAGGUUGUCUAGUCCAAAUCCCUGGCUUAAGCGGGGUCACUUGGAGGAGGACGGCCAUGGCUCUGCCCAGCCAGGUCUGAACAUCUCUAAGGAGAGUCCAGCCCCUCUCUGGGCAGCCCGUUCCAGACGGGCACAGGAUGCUGCCGGACACGUGGGGCUUUGCUGGGAGGGCAAAAGGCUCAGAUUUAUCUAUGCCGGGGUGCAGUGGCUGUUUGCCAGGAGUCUGACAGCUGAUUCAGGAAGGAGCACAGGCCAGCCAUGCUCAGAAACUCCCCGCGGGGUCUUGUUGCUAUUUGCUUUUUUCCAUCUGCGCCAAAAUACACGCACUUUUAAUUCAAACGAACAUCACCACACAACUCUUCCCCGA